UACGAAGGGGGCUAGCGUUGUUCGGAAUUACUGGGCGUAAAGGGCGCGUAGGCGGCCCGUUCAGUCAGAAGUGAAAGCCCCGGGCUCAACCUGGGAACUGCUUUUGAUACUGGCGGGCUUGAGUUCCGGAGAGGAUGGUGGAAUUCCCAGUGUAGAGGUGAAAUUCGUAGAUAUUGGGAAGAACACCGGUGGCGAAGGCGGCCAUCUGGACGGACACUGACGCUGAGGCGCGAAAGCGUGGGGAGCAAACAGGAUUAGAAACCCGGGUAGUCC
rnacentral:rRNA from 1 species